AGUGAACGCUGGCGGUAGGCCUAACACAUGCAAGUCGAACGGCAGCACAGUAAGAGCUUGCUCUUACGGGUUGCGAGUGGCGGACGGGUGAGGAAUACAUCGGAAUCUACUUUUUCGUGGGGGAUAACGUAGGGAAACUUACGCUAAUAUCGCAUACGACCUACGGUUGAAAGCAGUGGAUCUUCGCACCUUGCGCGAUUGAAUGAGCCGAUGUCGGAUUAGCUAGUUGGCGGGGUAAAGGCCCACUAAGUCGACGAUCCGUAGCUGGACUGAGAGGAUGAUAGGCGACACUGGAACUGAGCCAGGGUCCAGACUCCUACGGGAGGCAGCAGUGGGGAAUAUUGGACAAUGGGCGCAAGCAUGAUCCAGCCAUACCGCGUGGGUGACGGAGGCGUUCGGGUUGUAAAGCCCUUUUGUUGGGAGAAAAAAGCAGCAGGUUAAUACCCCGCUGUUCUGACGGUACCCAAAGAAUAAGCACCGGCUAACUUCGUG
rnacentral:rRNA from 1 species